rnacentral:lncRNA from 1 species
GCCUGUGCCACCGCCUCCGGGCGGGGGGAGCCGCCUGCCCGUCCCAUAAAGGGCGGCCGCGGCCCCUCCGAGGCUCGGUGCGGAGCAGGGCCCGGGUUCUGCCUCUGCACGGCCGCUGGCCCUCACGCAGCAAGACUGAACUCGGAAUCCAGCGUUUCUUCCAGCUCCUCCUGCUGUUUGGAUGCUGUGAACAUCACAGACCAGGACAAAGCAUUGCAUGGGUUACCAGAGUUAAUUGAUAAACAUUGGUGGAUAAAAAGCUUCUUCCACAGUGAGCCCUCUCCACCCACUGUUGGCAGAAAAACACUCUCAGCAAGCAGAAACUGCAGAGAAAGAAAUUGCUGUUUCCCAGCCCUGUGAAAAAAGAAGAUUCAGG